UGCGUAAAAAUGACUGCUUUUUCGAUGGGUAUUGAGAUGUUGAGCUCAGUCUUUCUCACCGAUGGUUGUUAAUAAAUGUCUCAAUAUGAGCACAAUCUGUUUGACGAAAUGUCUCAGUUUUCCUUCUUCCAAAAUGCUUGCAUAUCUCUUGGUCUUAAUAAAUCCAUCUGCACUGUUUUUUGGAACCAUUUUUAUUCUAUGUUUGUUGAUGUAAUAUAACUGUUUGAAGUUUGUUGAAGCUAAAUGCACUAUCCGGGGAUGUAUCGAAACUCCAACAUCUCUUGGGUAGCCACCAAGUGUCGGCGAAUAGGGAUAUGUUCCUUCAAUUGGUCAACUUGGCUUCCAGUCACAAAAUGUGGGCUUUUUCACACUGGCAUGUAGACUCUACAGAUGCAGAUCAAGUUUCACUCUGAUAACAAAUAUGAGAUACAUACUUCCAUCAUAAUCUAACAAUUCCUGAAAUUUAGUGCAUAUCUUUUCCUCUUAAUACAGGUUAACAAGGGAAUGGAGUUUGUUGGUGGUGAAAGUGAUGCAAAUGGGCAGGGUAAACGAGUAUUUUUGGAAAAUGCGAUGAUGGAUUUGUGCAUUUGGUACUAAAAGAUUUCAAAGGGAUCCAAUUCCUUGGGAUGAAAUGCAGAGAUUUGAUUUUUGAUAGAGCUACUUCAGCCAUAGACUUAAAGUAGAAAAUAUAUAAUGUUUAAAGGU